rnacentral:rRNA from 1 species
GACGAACGCUGGCGGCGUGCUUAACACAUGCAAGUCGAACGCUGAAGCUCAGCUUUUGUUGGGUGGAUGAGUGGCGAACGGGUGAGUAACACGUGAGUAACCUGCCUCCUUCUUUGGGAUAACGCCCGGAAACGGGUGCUAAUACUGGAUAUUCACUGGUCUUCGCAUGGGGGUUGGUGGAAAGGGUUUUUCUGGUGGUGGAUGGGCUCGCGGCCUAUCAGCUUGUUGGUGGGGUGAUGGCCUACCAAGGCUUUGACGGGUAGCCGGCCUGAGAGGGUGACCGGUAACAUUGGGACUGAGAUACGGCCCAGACUCGUACGGGAGGCAGAAGUGGGGAAUAUUGCACAAUGGGUGCAAGCCUGAUGCAGCGACGCCGAGUGAGGGAUGGAGGCCUUCGGGUUGUGAACCUCUUUCGCUCAUGGUCAAGCCGAAACAAUGGUUGUGGUGAGGGUAGUGGGUAAAGAAGCGCCGGCUAACUACGUG